rnacentral:rRNA from 1 species
ACAAACGCUGGCGGCGUGCUUCACCCAUGCAAGUCGCACGGUGAAGGGAUCAGCUUGCUGGUUCUGGAUGAGUGGCGAACGGGUGAGUAACACGUGAGUAACCUGCCCCCUUCUUCUGGAUAACCGCAUGAAAGUGUGGCUAAUACGGGAUAUUCUGCGCCUGCUGCAUGGUGGGGUGGGGAAGGUAUUGUUUCGGGGGGGGGUGGGCUCGCGGGCUAUCAGCUUGUUGGUGGGGUGAUGGCCUACCAAGGCGGUGACGGGUAGCCGGCCUGAGAGGGUGGACGGUCACACUGGGACUGAGACACGGCCCAGACUCCUACGGGAGGCAGCAGUGGGGAAUAUUGCACAAUGGGCGCAAGCCUGAUGCAGCGACGCCGCGUGAGGGAGGGAGGCCUUCGGGUUGUGAACCUCUUUCGCCAGUGAAGCAGGCCUGUCCCUUGUGGGUGGGUUGACGGUAGCUGGAUAAGAAGCGCCGGCUAACUACGUG